CGGACCAGUUCGGUGCUUGCUCCAGCAGCAAUACAUAGUAGAUUAAAUUGACCCCUGCACAAGGAUGACAGUAAAUUCAUGAAGCAUUCCAUAUUUUU
rnacentral:snRNA from 1 species